GCAGUCGAGCGGAUGAGAGGAGCUUGCUCCUUGAUUUAGCGGCGGACGGGUGAGUAAUGCCUAGGAAUCUGCCUGGUAGUGGGGGAUAACGUUCCGAAAGGAACGCUAAUACCGCAUACGUCCUACGGGAGAAAGCAGGGGACCUUCGGGCCUUGCGCUAUCAGAUGAGCCUAGGUCGGAUUAGCUAGUUGGUGAGGUAAUGGCUCACCAAGGCGACGAUCCGUAACUGGUCUGAGAGGAUGAUCAGUCACACUGGAACUGAGACACGGUCCAGACUCCUACGGGAGGCAGCAGUGGGGAAUAUUGGACAAUGGGCGAAAGCCUGAUCCAGCCAUGCCGCGUGUGUGAAGAAGGUCUUCGGAUUGUAAAGCACUUUAAGUUGGGAGGAAGGGCAUUAACCUAAUACUUUGCUGUUUUGACGUUACCGACAGAAUAAGCACCGGCUAACUUCGUGCCAGCAGCCGCGGUAAUACGAAGGGUGCAAGCGUUAAUCGGAAUUACUGGGCGUAAAGCGCGCGUAGGUGGUUCGUUAAGUUGGAUGUGAAAGCCCCGGGCUCAACCUGGGAACUGCAUCCAAAACUGGCGAGCUAGAGUACGGUAGAGGGUGGUGGAAUUUCCUGUGUAGCGGUGAAAUGCGUAGAUAUAGGAAGGAACACCAGUGGCGAAGGCGACCACCUGGACUGAUACUGACACUGAGGUGCGAAA
rnacentral:rRNA from 1 species